rnacentral:rRNA from 1 species
UACAGAGGGGGCAAGCGUUAUUCGGAAUUAUUGGGCGUAAAGGGCGCGUAGGCGGCUUCGCAAGUGGAAGGUGAAAUCCCCGGGCUCAACCUGGGAACUGCAUUUGUGACUGGCGUGCUGGAGUGUGGCAGAGGGAGGUGGAAUUCCACGUGUAGCAGUGAAAUGCGUAGAGAUGUGGAGGAACACCGAUGGCGAAGGCAGCCUCCUGGGCCAGCACUGACGCUCAUGCACGAAAGCGUGGGGAGCAAACAGG